AUUGAACGCUGGCGGCAUGCUUUACACAUGCAAGUCGAACGGCAGCGCGGGCUUCGGCCUGGCGGCGAGUGGCGAACGGGUGAGUAAUACAUCGGAACGUGCCCAGUAGUGGGGGAUAGCUCGGCGAAAGCCGGAUUAAUACCGCAUACGACCUGAAGGUGAAAGCGGGGGAUCUUCGGACCUCGCGCUAUUGGAGCGGCCGAUGGCAGAUUAGCUAGUUGGUGGGGUAAAGGCCUACCAAGGCGACGAUCUGUAGCUGGUCUGAGAGGACGACCAGCCACACUGGGACUGAGACACGGCCCAGACUCCUACGGGAGGCAGCAGUGGGGAAUUUUGGACAAUGGGCGAAAGCCUGAUCCAGCAAUGCCGCGUGUGUGAUGAAGGCCUUCGGGUUGUAAAGCACUUUUGGCGGGAACGAAAAGGACUGUGCCAAUACCACGGUUCGAUGACGGUACCCGCAGAAUAAGCACCGGCUAACUACGUG
rnacentral:rRNA from 1 species